rnacentral:lncRNA from 1 species
GGGGAGAGAGGGAUAUAUGAGGAGCUUGUGGACCAAUGUGAGGUUUAAGAAUUUGAUAGGUUUUGAUAUUUUAUCAAGGAUUUGAAUUUCAUAUUUUCAAUGGACUACAAAUAUGAAAAGGGUUUUGGGUAGAUUAGGUGUUACAACAAACAAAAUGCAAUACUCAUGAGAUAUUUUAUAAAUUUUGAAAAAUGUACAAGUACAACUAUAU